rnacentral:lncRNA from 1 species
UUUAACAUAAAUUCUUCUAAAUCUCUUGCUCAUGUUGAUCUCAGUGAUAACCAACUCACUUCUUCCAUAUUUCUUUGGUUGUCCAAAUACAAUGCCAGCCUUGUUCAUCUUGAUCUCAAAUACAAUAACUUUGCUAAUGUAGAAAAUCUGAAUUCAUGGCUGCCUCAUCUUUCUGCUUUAACAUAUUUGGACCUAAGUUACAGCAAUCUCAGUAAUGUUCCUGACUGGAUCGAAGCAGUUAAUAAUCUCCCUAAACUUACAAACUUGUCUCUGUCUUAUUGCAGUCUUCCUUCUCCUCUAAUUCAUUCCAGUACUCUUUUUAACAUAAAUUCUUCUAAAUCUCUUGCUCAUGUUGAUCUCAGUGACAACCAACUCACAUCUUCUUCCACAUUUCUUUGGUUGUCCAAAUACAAUGCCAGCCUUGUUCAUCUUGAUCUCAAAUACAAUAACUUUGCUAAUGUAGAAAAUCUGAAUUCAUGGCUGCCUCAUCUUUCUGCUUUAACAUAUUUGGACCUGAGUUACAGCAAUCUCAGUAAUGUUCCUGACUGGAUGGAAGCAGUUAAUAAGCAUCCUAAACUUACAAAUUUGUCUCUGUCUAAUUGUGGUCUUCCUUCUCCUCUAAUUCAUUCCAGUACUCUUUUUAACAUAAAUUCUUCUAAAUCUCUUGCUCAUGUUGAUCUCAGUUACAACCAACUCACUUCUUCCAUAUUUCUUUGGUUGUCCAAAUAUAAUUCCAGCCUUGUUCAUCUUGACCUCUCUUACAACCAGUUAACUGGCUUAUUUCCCGAUGUCAUUGGAAACAUGAGCUCUCUUGCAUAUCUAGAUCUCUCUUCUAACCAAUUUAAAGGGGUGAUUUCAGAAAGUCAUUUCUCGGGUCUCUCCAGAUUAAGAUCUUUGUCUCUGUCCUCUACCUCACUAACUUUAAACUUCCAUUCUAAAUGGGUUCCUCCCUUCCAAUUGGAUGUCAUAUUCUUGAGGUCUUGCAAGAUGGGUCCACAUUUUCCAAAUUGGCUUCAAACUCAGAAAAGUUAUCGGACGCUUGAUAUUUCUAAUGCUGGAAUUUCUGAUAUCCUUCCAAGUUGGUUUUGGGAAAGGCUGUCUCAUGCUCCUGAAAUUGGUUAUGUAGAUCUCUCCAACAACCAAAUUAGAGGAACAAUUCCAAACUCGCAAAUCAAUUUUGUAUGUUUCUCUCGUCAACUAAAUUUGAGUUGGAACCAAUUGGAAGGUCAAGUCCCUCCAUUCCUAUUGAAAGCUUCGUCAUCUCUCUUUCUCUCCCACAAUAAAUUUUCAGGGUUGUUUUCUUUCUUGCUUCCAGUUAACGCAAGUCAUUUAAGAUUGCUUGAUCUCUCGAGCAACCAUUUACAUGGAGAACUUCCCGAUUGCUGGACUCAUUUCAAAAAUCUUUUAAUUCUUGAUUUGAGUGACAACCUUUUUUCUGGGAGAAUUCCUGCCACAAUGGGCUCUUUAUCUUCAAUUCAAACAUUGAACCUAAACACUAAUGGACUUGUGGGAGAAUUGCCUUCAUCUUUGAAGAACUGUACAAGUCUCAUAGUUUUUGAUGUUGGAGAAAAUAAAUUAUCAGGUUUGAUACCUGAAUGGUUAGGGGUUGGACUUCCAAAUUUGACUAUCCUUAUCCUCCGUUCUAAUCACUUCUAUGGAAGCAUUCCAUCACAAUUGUGUAAUAUGGGAAGCAUUCAAAUUCUGGAUUUCUCGAUGAAUAACAUCUCCGGAAGUAUACCCAAAUGUCUCAACAAUUUGACUAAUUUGGCUCUAAGAGGAAGUUCAAGUCUAACUAUCACUCACCUAUUUAAGGCAACCUCCACUGAUAUUGCUGUCAGUAUUUUUGAUUAUGAAGACGAAGCAUCCUUGAUAUGGAAUGGAAUAAUGUCCAAAUACAAAAGUACCCUGGGGCUUGUAAAGAGUAUCCAUCUGUCAAGUAAUCGAUUAACGGGGGAGAUUCCUAGUGAAGUCACUGAUCUUGUGGGGCUGGUUUCUUUAAACCUAUCAAGAAAUAACUUAACAGGUCAAAUAACUCCAAAAAUAGGAAAGUUGCAGUCUUUAGAUUUGCUUGAUUUGUCAAACAACCAAAUACAUGGUACAAUUCCAACAAGUCUCAUUGGAAUAUCUGGCCUUGGUAAGUUGGACCUGUCCAACAACAACCUAUCUGGAAAAAUUCCCAUCGGGUCUCAACUUCAACCCUAUGACGCCACUGUUUUUGCUGGAAAUCCUCUCCUUUGUGGAAUUCCACUUGAACAUAUGUGCUCUCCUAAGGAAACAACACUGGAGGAGCAACCAGUGGUAGACAAUCAAGAUGAAGAUGAUGACGGGUUUAUAACACCUGGAUUUUACAUGAGUUUGGGGCUUGGAUUUAUCAUUGGAUUCUGGGGAGUUUGUGGGAGUUUGAUAUUCAACAGGUCAUGGAGAUACAUGUACUUCAAACUCUUGAAUGGUUUAAAUGAUUGGCUUUAUAUCAAGGUGGCAUUGUUCAUGCAACGAAGAAUGCUCGAUGAAUAAGCUGUAAGUAUACUGUCACAUAAUGAAUAAUACUGCAAUUAACAUACAUGUCCUCCUCUCUUUUAAACUCCCGGCUAACGGCUAACGCCUGUAAUUUACUUGAAUUUUUGUAGCUCGUCCAUCGGCUUGUGUGGUACGACAUGCUAACCCCUUCGGCUUUUGGGUUGAGAAGGAGCCUGAAGGACAAUAGCUUUUAAGUUAUGGUGGAAUUUCUCCAAAUUCAUGAGUGGGAAAUGUAUUUGGUUCAUUGUCGAGUUGUAAUUUUACACAAAUAUUUAUGGUUUUAGUUUCAAUUUUUCCCAAUUUGUUAUGAAUUAAUGGAUGAAUAGACUGCGUUCCAAAUUGAAAGCCAGGAUUGAAGAGCUGUGUACAAGAGACUAAAAAGAGUGGCACUAAACGAAGACCAAAAAGAGUGCCACUAAACAAUGGACAUGAAUUAAAAUUUCAAAACUACAUUGAACUUGUUAAACAAAUUCAAAAAUAAGUGAGACGACCAGUUUGUGUAAUCUCAUACAAGCUUGUGAUAAACGAACAAGUUUGGCUCAUGAAAACAAAGGCAAAAUUAUUAUUAUUUUUAUUUAUUUGUUGCCUUAACAUACCAAACAGAAGCCCCCAAAAUCCAACUCCGGCUAAUUACCCCAACAAAAGAAGAUUAAAUUAUGAAGAAGGGAAAAAAUAAUUAUGUUUGGGUCCAAAUAAAUGAGAAUUGGAACUCUUGGUAGCCUGUUAGCAUCUGGUCAAAAUUGUUCCAGCCUGUGGCUGAUGAGAGUUUUGUUCGAGCCGUUUCCACUCUGGAUGUACUCCUGUAUGCACGAGAGGUAAGAGGAGUAAAAGGGAAUGUAAUGCUGAGUAAGUGCUCUACAGUUUAUUGUUUGUGGCUUGUUUUGAUCCUUCAGUAGAACGAUGCAGAAGCAGAUAAAACAGUGUAUUCAAAUAUUGAUCAAACAUUCAGGAUUGGUACAAUACUAGUGGAAUUAAGCUUGUCUGGGUGCGGGAAUAUCACUAAUCAAAUAGCUAAUGCACAGCUAACUUGACUGAAAAGGGAAGGGAGGAAAUAACGAUGUCCAUAUCAAUUCCUCUCACUUAGUAAAAUAAGAACGUGAUAGAAACAGAACAGCCAAUUAUGAAUAACCAGGAAUACGAAAAAAAAUUCUAAUGCAUAAUAUCAAUCAGCCCAUGAAAAAAAAAGAGAUUUUGGAAAACCACAUGUAGGAGACAGGAAAACAGAUUAUACUUUCCAACUUUCGCUCCACAACUAUAUGCUUUUACGGAUAUCAUAUGGUAAAGAGGAAUGUUGAAAAAACAAUUUCUUUUCGGGUUGCAUAGGUAAGUUUCACAGACCCACCGGGAUUAGCACUCGCCCUCCACCCUUGGUCUUAAGGAACAUGGCAUGUCAUUAGGUUCAAAAGCUAGUUGAAAGGAGAAACAUGUAAAGCAUUUGUAACCUUACCAAAAGAAACGAAAAUACCUUAGCACAGAUUUACUUAUGUGACAAUAGAUUAUGUAUCAGGAAAAAAACAAUGGUAGAAGCUUUCGGAAGGGAACAAAAAAGUAAGAAGAAAGAGAACAUACAAGCAUAUCUUCUGAAAGAACUGUUUCCAUUAAUGGAAAAUGUUACAGGCCUCCUUUCCUGACCCAAAGAUAGGAUCUCUUGCAUCCUUUCAGGCCAGUCUGAAUUUAACCUCCGAGCAAAAUCUUCAACCUCCCUGAACAACGAUUUAAGAAAAUAUGUAACAUUAGCAAGAACCAAGUUUUGUCUCUAUAAAUUGCGUAUUUACAUGCAGAACCAUGGUGGAGGAUGCAACUUGAAAUUCCAGUUACAUCCUUAUCAGAAAAUAAAAUAAACACUGACGAGAGAAAAAGACUUGCAGAACCAGAAGAGUGGGCGACCGGAACCAUGUUUCACAACAGAUGCUUAAUGGUGAUGACCAGAAUGAGAGCUCUUUUUCUUUAUAAACAUAAACAAAUAUUUAUUUAAAAUGUCCAAACAACUAUUGCACACAGAAAAUCAAAAACCAACAUCUCUCAAAGCCACCAUAAAGAGCUAGCAAAGGCAAAACAUUAUCCCCAAUGUUUACUCAUUUUUAUCACAGACCAACUUUUUUAAGCAACCUUUUUCAUCUUCUUAGCUGGGUGAGGAGUGGAUUUGAACAUGGGACAGUUUAAAAAAGAAGUGGAGAAAUACCACUACAUUAAUAGCUAUUUAGUUUUUAAGCAAACUCUGCAACAUUGAAAAACAAAUGACAAUUUGAAAUUCUUUUGCAGUUAUCAAAUUUCAUCUUCUAAUUGCAUAUCUUCAAUUUCAGAACUGCGUUCACAAAAAUAAAAUAAAAAAAGCAACGAAGUUGCACCAUAAUGAGAUCCACCAUUCUGUUUCCUUAAGCUUUCCAUAACUAAAGUCAUCAUCGACAAAGUUAUUACCACUGAGUUCAAUUCAGUACUUUUUCUUCCACAUGUUGCUCAACGUGAUAUAUUUUUUUUUUUCAUCCACUAAAAUUAAAAAAGAUGAUAUUAUAUUGCAAAUCGUGUAAUAACCCAAAAUAGUUGCAGACAAACCUAUCAAUUUUUUCCUUCAAUGCCGGAUCAAUCUCAUCAUCAAUAUCACCUUCAUCAAACCCAAUCAUAUCCUCCACCCUAUCAUCCUUUAGAUCUUGUAGCUUUAAUGUCAAACUAGAACUAGGCGUAAAUUUGUUGAGUUCAUCACUGGGGCAAGCAAAGUUAAGAUUGCUCGACACCUAAAACAUUUGGGCGAAAAGAAAAAUGAAGAAAAACUAGCUACCCAACAACUCAAGCAGAAAAGUACAAGUUCAAGACCGAAUUAGUGAUUCAAACCUCAUGGAUCUCAUUGGCCUCAUAUAGACACGUGCUUUUCUGCUGAUCUUUUCUCCUGCGAUUCUUCUUUUUGUUCUUGGAAGUUUUAAUUCCUUUGGAAUCUGUGAAACAUAAUUUCCUUACCUCCAAUGAGGCCUUCAAAAGGAAAUAAAGUAAAAAUAGACGACUAAGACACUACACUUCAAAUCCCAUUUAAAGGAAUCUUAAGUACUUCCAAGUACAGUAUAAUGUGGGCUAAUGCAAUCCUGAAAAAGAUUAGUAUCAAGUGUGCAUUGUGCAAUUUGCUCGUUGGAACUACAACCUACUCAAUGAUAAAUCCAAUUUCUCAAUUAACAAUAACCAUGCAGUCAAGGAAUAAGAGAGCAAUUACUCAGGUAUACCUCCAAUUUCUCCAUUAAUGAAUGACAAGAGAUCAUCAACUGAACGUUCAUCGUUUUGCUCUUCUUCGAGAUGACAAGAGAUCAUCAACUGAACGUUCAUCGUUUUGCUCUUCUUCGAGCUCGUCAUUCUGAAAAGUAUGGAAGGUUCAAUAAUGACUACCAAUAAGAAGGAUAUAUUAUUUAGCAUAGUAUAAAAGCCAGAAAACAUAUUAUGUAGUACGUUUUGAAUUUAGAUUCAUCAAAUACCAAACUCACCUUCAAUUUCUCUCUUUCCUGAAGUUCCCUCCUCUUUCUUGCAUAUAAUCGAUUCAAAAGUCGAAUGCGUGGAUCGUCAGUUGAAUUUUUCAAAGGCUCCAACUUCUCUUCCUGGAUGAUUUCUUAGUGGUGUUAAAAACAACAAAGAAACACCAAGUUUUUGCUAAGCAUACACAGAAAUCUCAAGCAUCGGAGACCUCUGUAAGAUCAUCAGGGAGAUGAAAUAUUUCACGUAUCUCCUCAGGUGUUUUCCCUUCAAUUAUUCGUGCAAGAGCACGACUAGUAAGAUCCACCAAUGGUUUUAAUUGGAGGCUGUCAGCUGCUGAAGUCAACUCACAGAGCAACUUUGCGUCCAUUCGGAUGUAUUUUUCAUCAAAAGCCUUGCAUUCCUACAUAAACGAGUGGUGCCGAGUCAUAUGAGCGUGCCAAGUUUACACCAGCAUCAGAGUAAACAUUUAAUCCAGUGUGCAGGUGGAGAUUAAUGUCCUCAAUAGCUCAAAUUUAUGCAAAACAGACAGAGGGCAUAGACUCAGAAAGAAGUAAAACAGAAUGACAUUCCAAAAACAUGUAGAACCUUGUUCGAGCGACCUGGUACUUGAUGAAAUCGGCAGUAAUCAAGAAUUAAGCUCAACAUUGCAGUACCGACUCUUUCAGGAAGAGAUAUUGCAUGGUUCUUGGAAGCUCCCAUCCCUUUCUGUAUAUUUUCUUUGCAUAUCAUAGGGCAAUACACGUGUUCGCUCCCUAAAUCCGCCAUGGCGCCUUGCGGGCAAGCCGGGGAUUUACUUCACAUAUGAGAUUGGUGGGUGCGGGCGUGCCACUACUAGAUGCCGCUAGUAGACGGGAUUUGAGUGAUUGAGGUUGCGCCUGAAUUUGCCCGAAUCAAGAGAUUGUGUCAUUUGAGUGGGAGUUGCUCAAAUUAAGGUUCUUUGUUUGCCUUAAAAAUAAGGACUUUACUUAUAUGGAGAGAUAGAACAAUAUGUAAAUGAUAAGGUUGCUUGGAAAUAUAAAUGACAGAGGAAAGUGACUAAAAUUGCAGAUUGCUUGUAAUUUAUAUGGCUGGAAAUGAGUACAUAACAGCUACAAAUGAGAUCGAUACCGCAAGUGAGCAGCAGAGCUAAUAAACUAGAUAAAAGAAGGCUUUUUGGUGAAGGUUUAUCCCGAAUGGGAUGAAGGUUUGGGCUGACUACAGCUUCGUUGAAGGCAAAUCUGGCUUGAGCAGAGUUUUGGCUUUUGUUUGUUUGUUUGAGUGUCCAUAAUCCUUGUGCAUCUGCUCCUUUUUAUAGAGGUCUGGAGGAAACCCUCCUGCUGAGGUUUUGUAUCUGCCCGAAAAAAGCUUGGGCAGCUUGUAUUCCAUUGCUUUAGACAGCUUGCAUGCUUUUCACUUGCCAACUUGCAUGGAGAAAUAAUAUUAAAAGGGGAACUUGCAUUUCCACCACAAGCUUUUAGCACAUGUUUUCCCACUUGUAAUAAACUAACAUUUAAAAGAAGCAAGUUGGAUUCUUUCACAUGUUCCUUGCCCGAAAGCUUGCUGAUGCUUUUCCAUCCACUUGCAAUACAUGCAUGUACCUUGAUUAAACAAAUGCUAGACAAACCUCCACCACCCAAACAAAUAGGAGAAACAAUAUUAUAGUGUCCAACCCCUCCACUUGCAUCUAAAUAUCUUUCCAAGUUAGCUUUCUUGCAUAUUAAUCCUCCAAAUGCCAUAUUUUACCCAAAUUGCCCAAAUAAGUAAAAAUGUGUAUAUUUUGAGUGCAAACAGUGCCCCCCAAGUUUUACAAAUUUGAGCAAAGUUUGUGAAACUUACAACCCCAAUGCUGCCAGGAUUGAUGUCGAAGGAAGAGGCACGUCUACAUCUUCAGUCCUUUCGUCGUUGAGAAACUUGGCAAGAUAUGUUCGCUCCCUAAAUCCGCCAUGGCGCCUUGCGGGCAAGCCGGGGAUUUACUUCACAUAUGAGAUUGGUGGGUGCGGGCGUGCCACUACUAGAUGCCGCUAGUAGACGGGAUUUGAGUGAUUGAGGUUGCGCCUGAAUUUGCCCGAAUCAAGAGAUUGUGUCAUUUGAGUGGGAGUUGCUCAAAUUAAGAUUCUUUGUUUGCCUUAAAAAUAAGGACUUUACUUAUAUGGAGAGAUAGAACAAUAUGUAAAUGAUAAGGUUGCUUGGAAAUAUAAAUGACAGAGGAAAGUGACUAAAAUUGCAGAUUGCUUGUAAUUUAUAUGGCUGGAAAUGAGUACAUAACAGCUACAAAUGAGAUCGAUACCGCAAGUGAGCAGCAGAGCUAAUAAACUAGAUAAAAGAAGGCUUUUUGGUGAAGGUUUAUCCCGAAUGGGAUGAAGGCUUGGGCUGACUACAGCUUCGUUGAAGGCAAAUCUGGCUUGAGCAGAGUUUUGGCUUUUGUUUGUUUGUUUGAGUGUCCAUAAUCCUUGUGCAUCUGCUCCUUUUUAUAGAGGUCUGGAGGAAACCCUCCUGCUGAGGUUUUGUAUCUGCCCGAAAGAAGCUUGGGCAACUUGUAUUCCAUUGCUUUAGACAGCUUGCAUGCUUUUCACUUGCCAACUUGCAUGGAGAAAUAAUAUUAAAAGGGGAACUUGCAUUUCCACCACAAGCUUUUAGCACAUGUUUUCCCACUUGUAAUAAACUAACAUUUAAAAGAAGCAAGUUGGCUUCUUUCACAUGUUCCUUGCUCGAAAGCUUGCUGAUGCUUUUCCAUCCACUUGCAAUACAUGCAUGUAUCUUGAUUAUACAAAUGCUAGACAAACCUCCACCACCCAAACAAAUAGGAGAAACAAUAUUAUAGUGUCCAACCCCUCCACUUGCAUCUAAAUAUCUUUCCAAGUUAGCUUUCUUGCAUAUUAAUCCUCCAAAUGCCAUAUUUUACCCAAAUUGCCCAAAUAAGUAAAAAUGGGUAUAUUUUGAGUGCAAACAGUGCCCCCCAAGUUUUACAAAUUUGAGCAAAGUUUGUGAAACUUACAACCCCAAUGCUGCCAGGAUUGAUGUCGAAGGAAGAGGCACGUCUACAUCUUCAGUCCUUUCGUCGUUGAGAAACUUGGCAAGAUGAGCAAGGCAAUUGGUAGUGUAACUAGCAUUGGAAAGAAUGUUGUCUGACUUGUGCAUCCUUCUUGUUGAUACCAAAAAACAUGGGAGCAACCUCACUGAUUACAUAGAUAAUAAAUUGGACAAAUGCUCGAAGUCGGGCAAACUGGAGAACAAGGAUAAAACAUAAAUAAACUUGGGCAACUAUUUAUUUUUUGUCUUUUUCUUUUGGCCUCUUUUCAUAUGUAAUAUAAUAUAUAAUACAAAUACAUAUAUAUAUAUAUAUAAUAUAGCCCACUCGGCAAAGAGAACAGAAAGAGACAAGAAGAAAGAGAAAGGAAGGAAAAGAAAAUAAAUAAAUAAAGAAAAAGGAAGAAAGAGAAGAGGACCCUUUCGGGCAAGAAGGGAACGGAAGAGACAGAAGAGAAAGAAAGGGGAAAGGAAAAGGGAGAGAGGGAAAGAAAUAAUAAAAAAGUAAGGAAAGAACCUUUCUUUCUUAGGCCGAGCCAAGUGAAGGACAGACCUUGAGAAAGGGACAAGGAACAGAAAGCAAGAGAAAAGAAAAAAGAAAAGGAAAAAGAAAGAGAUAGAUAGAGAGAAAAAGAUACCCACGUUCUCUAGCCUUUCCUUUUCUCCAAAAGAGAAGCUGUUUCUCUGUUCGAGGCACCACUUAAAGAUCAAGGUGCGGCAACCAAAAUCCAAGUCUGAGAGAGAGAGAGAGAGAGAGAGAGCAAUCCUUGUUCGUUCCCAAAUUUUGCCUCUUUGGAAUUAAGAGAAGUGGAAAGAUGCCUCUUAAGCUAGCCGACGCCACCAUCUCCACCUUCGAUUGUGUGUUUGACAAAUUCAAAGUAGAAGCUCUAAACAACAAAAUCAAUUUCAUCCUUUUCUUGGCUGACAAUGACCCUUCUACCUCUUGGUGCCCUGAUUGUGUGAGAUCUGAGCUUGUAAUCUACAAAAGGCUAGAAGCUAUACCAGAUGAUGUUGCACUGUUGAGGAAAUCAAACUCCUCUGGUGUUAUUUUGUUCAGAGCCCUCAUAGUCUUUCACACGCGAUCCUCAUCAGAUAGAGCAACCUUCUAGCUGACCAUAGUACCUCAGCUUUGAUUGAAGUAGGAGCAGGCCCUCCUCCUUGGUUCUGUUCAUGCAAAUUAAGCCUGAUUUGCAUCUUGCUGUUUGUGACCAAACCGAUCACCAGACUUUUUGUUCUUCCGGAGAGCACCCGAUGACCGUACUCUUUAAGGCAGGAAUUGGUGUAGAAGUGCCACGCCAAACUCGGCUAUUGGGCUCCGAAUAAUCAAUUUUAGGCUGGAGAUGGAGCUGGAGAUUUGGUAGAAUGGUUUUUGCAUGACCUCAGUUCUGAUCUUCACCACUGGAAUUUCAUCAGGGAGCAAAACAGCUUCCCUAAGCUGUAGUUGAUUCUUUGGGACGGAGUGAGAUGCAUAGUGCGCUAGCACACUCCCCUCCCUAACCAGCAAAAAUCCAGACUUUUCUUCCCAUACUGAGAGAUAAUUAGGGAAACUAGAAAUCCCCGAGAUUGGGGAAUGGAAGAAUAUCACCUGCAAUUGUUGCUUAUUGAUCCAUUCCAUUGAGGUCGGGAGCUAUACUAGACUUUGAUCCGCUGUUUGAUGUUCUUUGCCCGAGCUGCGGUUCCAAGACACCACCCAUGGAUUCGUUUUUGGAGUAACAAUACCACAUCGGGCUCAUGGGAGUUUGCAAUAACCCUGCUGUCGAAAGCAUUGUUGGAAUUAAGAUCGUUAUCACUUCCAACAUGAUGUUGCAGCGCAGGUUUUGGCUGGAAUUUGUUGGGAGGUAACGACGAGCAGCUGUGAGCUACGAUGUUGUUGGUUGACUUGUUUUUCACAGAAGCUUGCUCUGUCCACCAUUUAAGCAAUUUUUGGGCUAGGAAGCCAUUGACAGGUUUGUUGGGGGAGUCGGUGUAAUUUCCAGCAUCUCCUUCAGGGGCAGCUAUGGCACGAGCACUUCAAAUACGUUUGCCCGAUCAAACAUGGGGCCCCAUGUCUAAUUGACAACAUCUAAAUAAAUUGUAGCAGAGAAAAAGUCUUGCUCAUCGGGCAAGAUUAUAGCUCCAUCGGGCAAUAGCAACAUACUUUCAUCAAGCAUUCGGGCAAACUGCAAAAACAAUUCUGCACCCACCAUCCAACCUCCACGGUUUAAUCGUAGCCUCAAUGGUAGUCGUCGAAGUAGCCCGACCCUUGGUUGUAGGAGCUGGUGAGAGUUAGGGAGACAUGCAGAGUCUGUUGGUGGUGAACAGGGAAGACGUCACUUCCGUCGGGCAUGGUUAUGGUGGUCUCAUCGGGCACCACCAAUCGGGCAAGAUAACCCCCCUGCUCUUUUGCAAUAGCCAUUGAGAAGCUGUCUGAUAGAUUUUUGCACAGGAAAGCCAUGAUUUGGCUUUUUAUAAAACCUCCAAUUCCAAGAUUCUGGGUGAGAUUUUGUGGAAAAUGUAGUUUUAUUGUAUGGUUUUGGGUUCGGGCUAAAUACACCCAUUGGAUAAGAGAAAAGGUGGAAAGAAGGGUAAAAAUGGCUACUCACAAACUGCCCAACUCUUUAUAUUUUCUGUAAAAUUCCCCAGCAAGAAAACAAAAAGGGAAAGAAAGCAAGAAAAAACAAAGCAAGAAAGCAAAAUGUUUUUGUAAUUUUUGGAAUUUUUAAUUUUUAUAUCUUUUUCUUUGUAACAACACAAGAAACACACCAAGAAAACAGAGCCCUUUCGGGCAAACAGAAAAAGGAAAUUAAAGGCCUGUCAAGCAAGUUGGAAAAAGACAAAUAAAAAGAAAGACUUGUCAGACUUUCUUUAAAAAGAGUAAAACAUAAAAUGGACAAAAGCCCUUUCGGGCAAACCAACACCAAAGGAAGAAAUAUAAUCUUUUUAUUUUUCUUUGUUGUCCUUUUUUUUUUAAAAGCUAUACAUAUAAUAUAAUAAAAUAUACACCUACGAAAAGCCUUCGGGCAAAACACUUUUAUCAUAUAAUAUAAUAUAAUAAAUAUAGAUAUAUAGAUAUAAAAGUGUUUUGGGCAGCAGAAAGACAGGUGAGAGAGAGACAAGAAGGAAAAGAAAGGAAGAAAGAAAGAAAGAAAAAGAAAAGGAAAGAAAAAGGAAAAGGAGGAGAAGGGUACUGGAGAAAAAUGCACAAAAGAAUAACAUAAAAGAAAGCCAUUCGGGCAAAUUGGAUGAAGCCCCUUGGCUACUCAAGUGUUAUUUUUCUCUCAACACUCAAAUCUUUUUCUCUUUUUAAAAUUGAGUGUAGAGAGAUCAAACCCACCAUUUAAAUUGGCCAUGCUAUGUAGCUUGGGAACCAUAGGAGGUGGCCAUUCAUGUUUGAUCCCAAGCUUUGUCCUCAUUGAGAUCUCGAUGCGGACAACAUGCUUGUGUUGGCGGGGAAGAUUAUAGGAGCUAUUUUCUUCUUCUUCGGGCUCCACAUGAGGUGUGGGCUCAUGCCCCCCGAGCGUUGGUGUUUGGCCUACAACGGCUUGGACUUCUACAACCAUAUCCAUUUUCAUGGAUUUUUCCUUGGGUGGGGCCAUUGUUUGGCCUUCAUCAACAUGUAUGAUCUGUUCUUCCUUGGUUGUAGUAGGGUGAGUGUGCUUUGUAGAGGGGAUUUGACACAUUUGAUCUAUCAACUUUCCCAAAGUUUCUCCAAAAGUUGUAUAGCUUUCCUCCACCUUUUUAAAACACUUAGUCAUCUCUUCACCAUAUUCGAUGCUUGCCACAUGGAGUUUUGACACCUUCUCUAAUUUGCCCACAUCCUCUUUGUAGAGCUCUUCAUCCGAAUGAUCAUGAGUUGGCAUCUUAUAUAUUGGCUUUAUGUACUUAUUGGAAGUCUUUUGAUACUCAAAGCCAUUUGUUGGCCUAUCAUAGUAUUCAUGAAUAUGAUUGUCUUCAAAAGAAUAAUAACCUUCAUCAUAACCAUAAGUUGGCCAAUCUGUAAGAUCAUUAUUUAUUUGAUGGCCAUUAGUUGGCCGACAAUCAUGUUCCAUGGGACUUGAGUACUUUUCAGCCAUGUACCCAUAAGUUGGCAACUCAUAGGUUGGCUCUAUGUGAUAGCCAUAGCUUGGGCGCUCUUCCACACCAUCAUCUUCCGAAAAAGCAGAAAAAUCAUGAACAUAAGGAUUGUUCAUGAUCUAACUCCAUAUAAGGAUCCCACCGGGCGUGCCAAAAUAUGUUCGCUCCCUAAAUCCGCCAUGGCGCCUUGCGGGCAAGCCGGGGAUUUACUUCACAUAUGAGAUUGGUGGGUGCGGGCGUGCCACUACUAGAUGCCGCUAGUAGACGGGAUUUGAGUGAUUGAGGUUGCGCCUGAAUUUGCCCGAAUCAAGAGAUUGUGUCAUUUGAGUGGGAGUUGCUCAAAUUAAGGUUCUUUGUUUGCCUUAAAAAUAAGGACUUUACUUAUAUGGAGAGAUAGAACAAUAUGUAAAUGACAAGGUUGCUUGGAAAUGUAACUGACAGAGGAAAGUGACUAAUAUUGCAGAUUGCUUGUAAUUUAUAUGACUGGAAAUGAGUACAUAAAAGCUACAAAUGAAAUCGAUACUACAAGUGAGUAGCAGAGCUAAUAAACUAGAGAAAAGAAGGCUUUUUGGUGAAGGUUGAUCCCGAAAGGGAUGAAGGCUUGGUGCUGACUACAGCUUCGUUUGAAGGCAAAUCUGGCUUGAGCAGAGUUUUGGCUUUUGUUUGUUUGUUUGAGUGUCCAUAAUCCUUGUGCAGCUGCUCCUUUUUAUAGAGGUCUGGAGGAAACCCUCCUGCUGAGGUUUUGUAUCUGCCCGAAAGAAGCUUGGGCAGCUUGUAUUUCAUUGCUUUAGACAGCUUGCAUGCUUUUCACUUGCCAACUUGCAUGGAGAAAUAAUAUUAAAAGGGGAACUUGCAUUUCCACCACAAGCUUUUAGCACAUGUUUUCCCACUUGUAAUAAACUAACAUUUAAAAGAAGCAAGUUGGCUUCUUUCACAUGUUCCUUGCCCGAAAGCUUGCUGAUGCUUUUCCAUCCACUUGCAAUACAUGCAUGUAUCUUGAUUAAACAAAUGCUAGACAAACCUCCACCACCCAAACAAAUAGGAGAAACAAUAUUAUAGUGUCCAACCCCUCCACUUGCAUCUAAAUAUCUUUCCAAGUUAGCUUUCUUGCAUAUUAAUCCUCCAAAUGUCAUAUUUUACCCAAAUUGCCCAAAUAAGUAAAAAUGGGUAUAUUUUGAGUGCAAACAACAUGUCAACCUCCUGUACCACUUGUUGGAUUGAACCGUCGGUAGUCUGAAGCCAGAUAUAAGACUUCAUCAUCUGAGAAUGAGUUGGCACCGAUGUGGCUUUAGAAUUCCAACAUUACAAAGUACACGAAAAAUAUAAAACAGUUAAACAACCCACCCACCUUCACCCCCUCCAAAUAAACAAAAACAAAAAGAGAGAACAAAUUAACACUCAACAAGUAGAGGCGGCUACAAGCAUUCAAAAGAAACGAAAAACAGAAAACAAUCGAUUCGACUAUGGCUUGAAGAACAAAGAAAAGAAAACAUAAUGCAUUUAUCUAUUAAACACUAGACAAAGACGACAUAACAUAGUGGAAAAAAAGGAAGAAGGGGCAUAAAAAGAAUCACGAAGAACGCGUACGGAAAAGUGAUAAUACCUCAGGUUCAAUAACAGUCAUGUCACCUUCUGACAUUUGAACAAUCCCAAGUUCUGAGGCUUAAAAACUGGAGUGCAUCAGGCAAAAGAAAACAGCUUUAUGCUUCUUUUGCAGCAACUUGCUGAUACCCUGUUAAGUCAAACAAAAUUAUAAUUAGCAGCCCUUCUAUGCAAAUCCUUACCCAAAAUUAAAGUUUACACAAAUUUAACAUAAACCCAAGUUAGCUAGGGCAGUAAACCACCCUUUGCAAUCCCCAAGCCGUCGUUUAGAUUAGAUUAGAAUAUCGCUUUCAAAACAUAAACCCAGCUCUUACUUGCCAUGAAACAAUACAAGUUCCAAUUUUUCCUAACAAAUCUAUACUUCAUACAUAUAUAUUUCCACUAAACUUAAUUCCAUUUAUUCCCAAGUACAUGAAAAAGCAUUCUGGUGAUUAUAUUGCCCUAAAUCAAGUGAGAAAAAUUGCAAUUCAUAGGUAUUUUAGCUGAAUUUCUCGAUUAAACUAACUGUUAUUACCAGUAAAUGAUUGUUUUUCCUAAAGAUUUUAGUUCACCGAGCUCCGGAUUAAAGGGUACUUGGCAAUUUCAUUUUUCUAUUCAAUCAUUUCCAUUUUCCCGCACUUUCUGGGCAACCAAACAGGCAUACAGAAGAGAAAAAAAACAUGGUAAAGAAAAGCAAAAGGACAGACAAUUAAUUAACACGAAGGAGACAUACGAAAUGUACGGAUUCCAGGUAGGGGGAGCUUUGAAUUGCAGAGAUUUGGCGGUUGUCGGCGAAUCCCCAAAAAUGGAUAAAAUUGCGAAUAAAAUUUAGGAAAAAAAAAGAAAAAGAAACUCUCGUGUGACUGAAGUUGCGUCAAAAAUCAAAAGGUCUGCAAAUCACACGUCAGCGUUUCGUUAGGGUUUCCUGACCUCUUGUAUUUAUUUUGAUUUGAUUGAUUAGUGUUGUUUGUUUGUACAAUUCCUGGUGCGGGCCCACCUUAACCAACGGAUCAUAUUGAUCAUCAAUGUGACCUGGUAAUUAGCAGGCUUUGAUUGAAAAUGGUUCUUAUCAAUGAGGCCCGUACUCCCCUUGUAUAGUUGGACACUGAAUAUUGAGUUAAACCUCGUUGCAGUGAGAGGUUUUUGUGUGAGGCCAUCGCUGUUGGUGAGUCAUUUGUGUUGUGCGCAAGGUCUAAAAUUAUUCGACAGCCUGCUGCUAUUAUCACCAACUAGGUGAUCAAAAGUACGUCCAGUACUCUAAAAUUAUACAUGAGCAUCACUCAUGUCAAUCAUGCAUAAACACUCAUGAGCAUCACUCAUGUCAAUCAUACAUAAACAUUCAUGAACAUCAUUCAUGUCAACAUUCAUGAGCAUCACUUAUGUCAACAUCCAUGAGCAUCACUCAUGUCAAUCAACAUAAACAUUCAUGAACAUCACUCAUGACAAUCAGCUUUGAAAGUUUCAUUUACAGAGCUCCAACUUCAAGAGCUCCAGCUUCAAAAACUUCAUUUACAAAGCUCCAGCUUCAAAAACUUCAUUUACAAAAGCUCCAGCUUCAAAGCUUCACCUACAAAGCUUCAGUGCAUGGUUUACAAAGAUCGCCUCCGAACAACUGCCACUUCGGUCCAUACAUGGAUUGAAUUUGAAGUCUCCAGCCAAUAGCCUCUAUUGACUGAAGACUUGGGGGACUGCACUCUGUACCAUAUAUUGGGCUUCCACAACUAGGUCUCAUGAAAAAUACUUUGGGACUCUAGUCCAUUAUUUAUGUACUGAGGAGCGAACCCUUAUUCUAUAAAAAGGACUCCCUUACUUUCAUUAGAGAGCACACAUUAUUCAUGUACUGAGGAGCGAACCCUUAUUCUAUAAAAGGGACUCCCUCACUUUCAUUAGAGAGCACUCAUUAUUCAUGUACUGAGGAGAGAGCCCUUAUUUUAUAAAAGGAACUCCCUCACCUUCAUUAGAGAGCAUCUCCACCUGUUGAGCAACCGCCUCGCCCCGAGCAUCAACUCUUAGCCCAUCACUUAUGUAUUAAAGAGCAAGCCCUUAUUCUAUAAAAGGGACUCCCUCACCAUCAUUAGAGAGCAUCGCCGCCUAUUGAGCAACCGCCUCGCCGCGAGCAUCAACUAUAGCCCAUCAUUUAUGUAUUGAUGAGCGAGCCCUUAUUCUAUAAAAGGGACUCCCACACCUUCAACGCCACAAGCGGAGCCAACCAAGGCAACAUAAGCCACAAGCAGGGCAACCUCGCAACAUGAGCUACUUUUAGUUGAGCAUCAUUUCAGAUUGGGCACCGCCUCAUAUCGAGUAUUAGUUCUAGGCGACAUCUAGUUACUUCGGCCCACACGUGGACUAAAUUUCAAGUCUCCAGCCAAAAGACUCUCUUGACUGAAGACUUGGGGAACUACUGUUUGUACCAUACUUAGGGUAUCCAUAUUUAGAUCUCGUAUAAAUACUCGGGAGACUCAAAUGUAAUUAUGUAAUAAAUGGAGGGGCAAAUAUGUAAUAAGUGAGGAGCCCUUAUUCUAUAAAAUGGCUUCUUCACCCUCACAAACCGAAAGCUCUCAUCCUCACAAACAGAGAGCUCUCUCAAACUCUCUCUUUCUUUGGGGGACUCCCCCUCACCCUUGUAAUCCAUACGUACAGUUAGAGAGAAAUACAAUCAACAUCAGUGUGGACGUAGCCCAAACAUUUGGGUGAACCACAAUACAUCUUGUGUUCUUUACUUUCUUGCAGAUUCACGGUUGGAUUUACGUUGUUCCAAGACCCCUCCGGUUUUGUGCAUCAAAAUAAAUCAUAAUUCCCAUUUACGAAAUUUCAUAAUCACCCUGGAAUUUUCACCACAAACACAAUACAAUUUAUGUAUGUAUUUCACAUAUAAAACAUGAAUGCCACUUCAUUCACAAAAUAUGAAUUAAUACAACCACAAUGCAUUCCACAAUCCAUAUAACAAGAACUCAAGAAUAUUGCAUAUUGUAGAACAUGAUCAUUUGCUCUGAUACCAUUAAAGUUGUCACGCCCGAUCCCGACAUAUGUCCAAGAUCGAUACGUGACGUUACAAAAUACCCAUAUCACUCACACACCCCGCUUCUAGGAUAUGGACAAUGCACAACUCAAGAUUCAAAUUUCAUGAUAAUUUUUCUUAUACUUUAUGGUUGCAUCUAACCUCCUCGUUAGACUGUUUACGUACCCUCAAUAGGGAUCAAGCCAUUCGUAGUUCAACUUCGCUAUAACUCGACAUAUAACACAGUAUGUUCAAGCCAAAAUGCAUAACAUUCCUCAAUCAAACAUUUGGACUUGACAAGCAUGAAUUAUUCGAUUCAAACUACAUAACAACCCGCAUGACAAUCAAGGUUUCUAUUUCAUCCAUCAUAUAAAUCAUUAUGUUUCAACAUAAAAUUGCUAUUCAUAUCAUGUAAUAUAUCAAAGAAUCAACACAGCACAAUAGUAUCCUCUAGUCGCAUUAAUCAUUGAUCUAAUCAUAUUAAUAACAAUCAUAUUCAACAUCCUUCCACAAUCAUCUCAAGUAACCCAUUCCAUGAUAUCAAGGAGGCACGAUAUUAACAUUUAAUUAUGUUAAUCAAUCAAUCAAUCAAAUCACACCUCAAUGCACAAAAUUAAUAAAGGACUUCUACAUAGUUCUCUGCCUGGAUUUCAAGUAAUAACUUGAUAAUUCUAAUUUAUAUUCACAAGAUAUAUUAUGGGUACAUCCCAUUCAAUCGAAUCCAGGGAACAAGUCUAACUUAAGGAAAAGAGCAAAAGUAGGGAUAACGGACCACUCAACGUAAUCCAAAUCAGGAUACGAUUCCGAACCAUCACUCAAUGGAAUUGCGGAGUAGAAAGGAUUUUGGACCAUCUCUCAACGGAAUCUGAGUGGAUACGAUUCUGGACCAUCACUCAGCGGAAUCGCGGAGUACAAUGCAUAACAACCACUAAAUGAAACCCAAGUUGGAUACGAUUCCGGACCAUCACUCGACGGAAUCGCAAAAUAGAAGGGAUUCCGGACCAUCACUCAACGGAAUCCAAACAAGCAUAUGAUUCUCCCAUCAAAUGUACCAAGUACAACUAAUCCUCCUCACUUUUAGAAUGCAUAUGGUCCCCCAACGCGGAUUAACCAAGUAGGUAGUGACUCCCCAAAGUGUAUUAACCAAGCAGAGUCAUACCUACAAAACUGUUAGGCAAUGAUCACCUUAUGCGGAUUAACCAAGCAUGAUCACCCCUAAGUAUAAAUGGCCAUAAGGAUCACCCAACGCGGAUUAACCAAGCACGAUCCAUAAAUAGUAUGGUCCGCCAACGCGGAUAAACCAAGCAAGACCAGCCAUGCACCACGUCUACAUAGUGCAGUCUCAUCAUCACACCUUAUACAUAAUUAUACGCAUACAUACUAUCGAUUCCGCAUAUCAACCAGCAUUCAGUCAUAUGGAGCACAACACAAGGAAUUCCCUCAAUUACUAAUUCUACUAAAAAUCUAAUAAAGUACCUAACUCAUCUCCUGACUUUCAUCUCCAUCUCAUGCUAGGUAAUAGUGCAAAGUUCAAAUAAGUAUUCAGUUGGCAAUCAUAUCCAAAUAAUUAUCAAACAAUAUUUAGAUCCCAUAAUUGUCAUAACAUUCUUCAUAAUUAUCAUUCACAUUAUUAAAAGUUAAUUAAACACAUAUCUAUCACAAACAUCAUCAAUACACAAGCCAAAUCAUAUUUAAUUAGCAUAGGUCUAUGGCCAAAUAUAUAAAAUUCACAUUUCAAUAGAAAUCAUAUUUAUAAGACCAAUUCAUAUUCACAAAUGAUACUAAUAGUAGAAAUUAAGAUAAUAAUCAUAUUUCAUAUAUUCAAGUCGCUAUCUAACCAAUGUAGGCCCACUAGACUUCACUUAGUCCCUCAUGAUACUAAUUUUAGUAAUUAGGACGUUUCGAGACAUGUUGAUCAAAAGUCAACUUUUGGUCAAAGGUAGGGUCCACAAUUCUACACAAUUCAAUCCGGAAGAUCCACACCUUGGAUUUCGGAUAUGUAACUUUCCAAAGUCCACAUUAUGCUCAAAUAACAACAUGCUAAAAUCUUAACACGAUCCGACGAUUGGAUCUCCGCCAAUUAAAUUCAAGUGGCGAUCGACAUUUAAUUUUACAAACUUAGAAAUCCAAUUAGGGAAGAUCUGUAUGUCGGAUUCUCGAUCCGUAAGUUUCUAUGAUCCAAAAAUAUUAUGUUCUAUCACACAUUAAGAUUUGGUGACAAUCCAACGGUCGGAUCGUCGAAUCAUAUUUUUGACCUAACCACGUAUCGUAAUGAAAUUAGGUUCAAACAAUCAAAUCAUAUAAUAAGGAUAUCAAUUAUGAAAUCAGGGCAUCUAAUUGAACUUAAAAGGACAUCAUCGGCCCACUGGCCAGGCCGCCGCAGCACACGCCGUCGCGGGUGGCGGUCGGCCACCCCGACUUGUCGGAAAAUUCAACUAUUUUUAAAAAUUACUAAAAAUUAUAGAAAUGAAGAUCUCAAAGAGUAAAAAACUUUAUACCUAUGGCCAAGUUCAAUUUGGCCGGGAAACACUUCAAUUUCACUCAAACCCGCCGAAACCCUAGAAAAGGGUGUGCUUUGAUUCGGCUUCCAAUCGAACUCCGACGCCUCCAACACUACUUGAGCUUUGUUCCUGGGGUUGAGAGAAGUCUUUUGGUGGUGGUCAUGGAUGGUGAAACUUGUCGGAGCCACCGGGAAAAGGGAUAAAGCUGCCGGAACACCCGUGGGUUUGUGGCUUCGAACUGGAAAAAUGGGAAGGAAAUUGUGAAAUCUAACACUACCAGGAUGUAGGGCUCAUCAAAGGCUUUCCAUGGACACCAAGAUCACCCAAAACGGAGUUCGUAUGAAUAAGAUAUGGCCGGGUCAAAAAUGGUGGUUCGUAGGUCAAAAAAUGACCCAUUUCAGGUCCCUACUUUCCCCUCCUUCUCCUUCUCCUGAUUGGGCAGCUCCUAACCUUUUAAAAAUCUGAUUGGUUCCCUCCCUCUUCUAAUUGAUUGGUCCCUUAAUCCAAAUAUCUGAUUAGGCCUCUUUCCCAUAAAGUGGGAGUCUAAAUAAUUCCUAAAUUCUAUAGUAUCCCAACUUCAAACGCCCGUAACUAUAUCGUUAUAACCCGAACUCGUAAACGGCUUUUGCCUAUGCGUUCGUGAUCUCUAAAUCUAAUCAACAAUAUAAAUUGUGACCUUGAAUGGUCUACGGAUUUUAAAUAAUUAAUUUCCCAAAAAAUAAUAUAAAAACUCAAUAAUACCAAUACUUAGAUUAUAAUAAUGAAAUCCAGGAAUGGGAUUUCACAAUUUAUAUGUCUGUUCCUCCUGGUCUUCGGCGACAGUGGGAGAAUCUUGUGUGUCGCCUUCACAAGUCUCUUUAUGGUCUCAAGCAGGCUUCUCGCCAAUGGUUUGCCAAAUUCACUACUGCCAUUCUUUCCGCUGGCUUUCAACAAUCCAAAGUUGACUAUUCAUUGUUCACUAAAAAGUCUGGUACUUCUUUUACAGCCUUGCUCAUUUAUGUGUAUGAUAUUGUGAUUACAGGCAACGAUGUUUGUGCAAUUGAUUCUCUGAAGUCUUUUCUCCGUGAUCAUUUUCGGAUUAAAGACCUUGGUGAUUUAAAAUAUUUUUUGGGCAUUGAGGUUUCUCGUUCCAAACAAGGGAUUUAUAUUUCACAGCGCAAGUAUGCAUUAGAGAUUCUCAAGGAUUAUGAUUUUUUUUUAGCACAACCCAUUACUUUCCCUAUGGACGACACAAAAUUCUCUGAUAAGGGAGAACUUCUCAAGGAUCCUGAAAAGUAUCGCUGAUUAGUAGGACGGUUGAUCUAUCUCACAUAACUCGGUCGGACAUCACCUAUUAUGUGCAUGUUCUGAGUCGUUUUAUGCAUGAGCCAAGGAUACCUCAUAUGGAUGUUGCGCUUCGUGUUGUUCGUUAUUUGAAGGCUACUCCAGGUCAAGGCUUAUUAUUCCGUUCUGACAACCAAACCAAGUUAACUGCAUUUUGUGACUCUGAUUGAACAGGUUGUCCUAUCACUUGCCAUUCGACUACUGGGUAUUGUGUAUUCUUGGGCAAUUCUUUGGUUUCGUGGCGGGCAAAACGACAGGAAACUGUUUCACUUUCUUCAUCAGAAGCAGAAUAUAAGGCUAUGGCAAGUGCUUGUUGUGAGUUAAUUUGGCUUCGGUUUCUAUUGAAAGACUUGAACAUUCCUUUCGAUGGUCCUUCCGUUUUAUUUUGUGAUAAUCAAGCAGCAUUACAUAUAGCAGCUAAUCCUGUUUUUCAUGAGCGGACUCAUCACAUUGAGAUGGAUUGUCACUUUAUACGAGAUAAGAUUGCAGAUGGCACUAUAGAAACCAAGUAUGUUGGUACGGCACACCAGUUGGCGGAUUUGUUUACCAAGCCUCUCGGGAAAGACAAGUUUUCGAGUAUGUUACGCAAGUUGGGAGUUCUUGACAUCCACUCUCCAACUUGAGGGGGGGUGCUAGACAAGUAGAAACGUAGUUGGAAUCUAUGUAUAAUUGUAAUCCUAGUUAUAGUUGUAUUCCUAACUUGUGGGAUAAUUUCUUGCUGACCAAGUUAUGUAAUUGUAUAUAUUUGUGUUUCACGUAUCAAUGAAAUGCGCUUCAAACCCAUAUAUCUUUUUCUACAUAUUUUAAAUUGCAUACAAGCAAGCUUCCGCCAUUUAAUUGUUGAAAGUAUGCCAUUUCUUGCUUAAUGAACUUAGAUUUUCAUAAAUUUUCCUUCAGUUAUAUGGAUCCCCAAGCCUUCCGGCAGAAAUUCAGCAAUAAUAAACCUGGGUUUUGGUCACAUUCGCUAUUGAAGAUAAACCAACUUCGACAACCCGCUGCAGCGCAACCCACGAGGUCACCCACCUUCAGCCCUCGCGGUUUGAAGUUUCGAUCGCCACGAUGCCAGCCUUAUUCCACAAUAGCAGCAGCACUCCAGAGACCCGUCGCUGCAACCCAUGAAGCUUCAACCCGCGGUUCGUACCACCAGACCCCAGCCGCAACCACAUUUGAAUCCCUCGGCAGCCGUCCCCCGAGCACAGCUUUCCCCGCGACGCAACUGCAGCUCAACCCACGACCAGUUUCGGUCACGAGCUUCGAGUUCAACCUUUGGUGGUCUCGCGUUUCCCAGAUCUUCAGUCAUGAACAAACGAUGGUCUUUGUGCAGCCCGAAAAGGCGGAGAUCGACGAGGAUAAGGAAAGAAAUGGAUGAAGGGAUAAGGAAGGAAAGAGAGAGUUGUGUGGCUGUGCGACCGUUUGGAUGAGAGAGACGGAAACAACAAUAGAAAAGGCGCUGGCUGCUGCAACAAGAAGGCUGGGUCCAAACUUGAGCCUAGUGGCCGUCCAGCACAAAAGGGAGAAGGUGCUGCAAUGGUUAAGCGGCGUGGGCCUCCUCUCCUCUUGGCCUUGAGCUAUUAAAAAUAAAAAAUAAAAAUCAGGGAGGCAACAAAGAAAUUGAAUAAAACAAAGAUAUGUGGCCUUAUAAAAGAAGGCUCAAAUGUACACCAGAAGAAGGAAGGCAGAGAAUUUUUGAAAUUUGUGUUCCUUCGGUGACUCGGGAAAUUAAGACACCUUCUUUAGCAACUCUCCUUAUUCGGAGAUUUCGACAGACUCCACUAUAUGCUACUACAUUUCGAUAGUCAUAAGUUUCGUAAUUACUCAAUGACUUGGAUUUUGUAAGUCCCAACUAAUAAACUUUCCUCACUCGAGAACUUGGGAGAGAACUAUUUGUAUUAUACUUGACCAAUCCUGAAACUAUCGUGCAUUGGUCAACUUCCUACCUUCAAGGACCCACUGAAGGGUUCGUGCUGAGGCACUCCUGCCGAAGCACAAGAGUUUCUCUCCAAUUAGAAUGCCAAUUUAGUUCCUGAAUUAUCACAUGAGUGAAAAUUAGGUCCCUAACUUCUUCUUUUUUCAGAAAAAUUAGUCUUUGAAUUAUAAAACUCGGUCAAUUACAUCCCUAAUAUUAGAUUUGAAGCUACGAUAUUCAAUUUUCCAUCAACUUAAGUCAUGGUACAUGCAUGUGAUACACAUUUGAGGGUAGAUUGGUAAUUUUACAUAAAGAAUAGUGUUUGGUAAUUUUACUUAAGUUGAUGAAAAUUGAAUAAAAAAAGCUUUGAAUAUAAUAGUAGAGAUGAAAUUAGUAAUUAACCGAAAAAUAAUUCAAGCACCUAAUUUUUACUAAGAUAACAAUUCAGGGACAUUUUAUCCUAAAUCAAUUGCAUCUUUUGGGUUUCUCACCACUCCUUGAAACAUCAAUUCAUUUAUGCACUUCCAAAUUCUCCAAAGAACAAAAACCACCUCCUACAUAAUCUCCUCUCUCCGCUGCUCAUCCUUACAUCGCAUACCAAUAUACUCCAACACGCACGAAAAUCAAUCCCCACAAACGCCGUUGCAUCCAGUUGUAAUGAGCAGCAAUACCAAAUGACACGACUAAAUUUACACCCAAAAAAUAGGUGUUCUUCCAUUUCCUCAGCACACCCACAAAGGACACAUGAAUUGUCCACUCUCAUCCUCCUACGAAUUAGAUUGCACCGAACAGCCAUAGAGUUGUUACAACACCUCCAAAUAAAAAAAACUUCAUUUAUUUGGCACAUGUAAUCUCCAUAUAUUCGGAUUAUUGUUUAAGUGUCGAUUAACGUGUUUAUUUCUUAUUGGUGACACAUAAUUUGGUUUGAAAUUGACUUAUAAAUUUGGUUAAUCUAGCAUUACUCACUAGACACAGUCAGACUCAUUCACAAUCUAACAAAUGUCCCUAACUUAAGCCAUUUGUCUCCCCAAUAUACUUGGGUGUAGAAAACUGAUUAUAGCAGUAUGCUUCUAUUGAACUUGAACUCAAUGUUCUAAACCUUCUUCCCAUAAUUUAGAUUAGAUUAGAAUAUUGCUCAAAUUAGAAAAUUUAGAUUAGAUUAGAAUAUUGCUCAAAUUAACAUUCUUCCCAUAAUUUAGAUUAGAUUAGAAUAUUGCUCAAAUUAGAAAAUUUAGAUUAGAUUAGAAUAUUGCUCAAAUUAGAAAAGCUAGAUGUAGCCCCAAACUUAAUCCGCAUGAUGAACAUGCAAAGUAUGAUUACGUUGUAAACACUUAUUUAAAUAAUAUUGAUCAUUCUUGCUAUAAUAUCUCACCUACUGAAGCGUGCACAUUGCCUCGCUUUUAAAAAUAUUAACUUUCAUCCAGAUUUAGUGGUUGACUAGAAAGGAUAAUACUUUCGAAAGUUGUUGCUUUAAUAAAAUUAUUUUACACUAAGAUUUCCACACCUUGGUGAAUCAAAAAAGUAGUUUGGCGGAAAGCAAAUUUUUUAAUCAAAAAAGUAGUUUGGCGGAAAGCAAAUUUGUUAAACACUCGCCUUUGUUUUGGUUGCUUGUAUUUUAUCAAAACUUAGUGGGUGGGCAAUGCAUAAUUCAAUAUUAUAAUGCAUAUAGAUUAUUGGGCGAACUAGAAAAAGCAGUAAAUUAGGUGGAAAGAAAAUUUGUUAAGGACUCACCUAUAUCUGGUGCAUAAAAAAACCUCAUUUUAUCAAUCAUGUUGUCUAGUGAAAUUAUUGUAUAGCUUAGUGCUUGAUGUAGUUUAUCAAGUGGAAUUAUUCUGCUUUCGUAGCUGAUUGUGCUUCUUCUUGGUCUUAAUUUGACUCUAAUGAACAUGGUUGAACUUGAAGGAAUGUACAGCUUCAAAGUGCUUUACCCUAGGAUUUCAGUACCUUGAUGAAUAAAAAAAAUAGUUUGUUGGAAAGCAAAUUAGGUAAAGACUCACCUAUAUGUGGUGCAUCAAAAAGUUUCAAUUUAUCAAUUAUAAUGUCUACUGAAUUAUUGUAUAGCGGGCAUUUCUAAUGGGGACGCUAAAUGGUGUCUCCACAACCUUAUAGCCUCUAAAUAUAUGGACAAAGGGUUUUCAAUAGGCUUCUAAUGAGCUGGACUAAAGGUUGUUACAGUAUCCUAGUGUAUAGAGACUCGCCGGAUACCUCAAAAAAAAUCUCAAAUGUAAAGACCGCAUAGGGACUCAAAUAGUACGCCCAAAUGUUGAUUUUGAGUGGGAAACAAACCUCACCCACGUGAUAAUGUUGCACAGAAGCUUCUCUCACCACCAAACUGACGCAACAUCACUCAUGGACCCUUACCGCACUUGUGUCAUUUUCUUUUCUUUUCUUUUUUUUUUGUUGAACCAUUGAGAAACCAACGGUUGAGUUUUUUUUUUUUUUUUUUUUUCUUGUUUUUAUUAGCAACCACAAUACUCUAACGAAAUUAACAAUGAUUUUUUUUUAAUAUUUUAGUCCCUACAUUUAAAGAUUCUAUUAUAAGGUCUCCCAUUGAAGAUGCUCUUGGUACUCGAUGAACUUUAUCAAGUGGAAUUACUUUGCUUUCCUUAGUAAUUGUACUUGGUCUUAAUUUGACUCUAAUGAACAUGGUUGAACGUACUGCUUUUAUUACUACACAUGAAUCCCUGCAUUGGAUGCAUUGAGAAGAUUUUACAUCAGUGUGGGGAUCAGGUUUGUUGUUGAAUUUUGGGAUGUUUGUGGCACAUUGAUAUUCAACAGGUCAUGGAGAUAUUCAUACUUCAAGUACUGCAAUGUUGUAAACGAUGGGGUUUAGGAAAGGGUGGAGUUGACAGAUAAUACUUUGAUGUUGUUUUUGUGGAUGCAAAUUUCUUCCUCCUUGAUUUUGGACAAAAUUGCACCUACAAAACAAUUAACAUCUUAGGUCAAGGCCAAGAGCCUCAAGGGCCCAUGAUGAAUGGGGGGCUUUGGCCGAAGAACCUCCGAUGCCAAAGUUAGAAUUUAGAGAGAAAAAGUGUUUGAGAAUUCUAGAGAAUUUUAGCAAGAGUUGGAACUAGUUUUUGGGAGAGAAUGGUGAGCUAUAUAUAGGGAUACGGGCGGCCCUAUUAGGAGAAUAGAGACCGGUCAUUUAGGUAUUUUUGGUUGUAAAUUGUGGUUGAUUAGCCAUUAAUAGUUUAAUUAGGCAAUAAAUCUAUUAAUGGACUAAUUGACAUAUUUUGAAAGAAAUUAUUUGGGGAGUUAUGGAAUGAUUAAAAUAAUUAGCUAAUUGAUUAGCUAAAAAUGGAAAAAUGAGGUAGAAAAUAUAUGGAAUGAAAUAGGUUUUGGGAGUUACCUUGUAGAAGGGAUUUGAUGAGAUAGGUUUUGAAUUGUUACCUAUUUUGGGCACUUUUGAUUUAGUUGAAGGAUGAUUGCUCGCUGCUCGUGCAUAGGAAUCUCGUUGUACCUCAAGGGUAUUUUUAUCCUCUUUUAUCCAAAAAUCCACGUGUCGCAUUAUGAUUACUUUUGGCUCCACAGUUUUAGCAGCAUCUUUUUGGCUCAUGCAUAUCUUGGUGACACUCCUGCAUCUACCAUUCAGUUGGAGACGGAGAUUGGUGACUGCACUUUUAAAAUUAUGACGGACAACUACUAGUGUACUUAACUUGUAUUUGAUUUUGUGGCCUUGUCUCAAUGUCGACAAUUUGCGCACUAUAUUUUUACUUUUGAGGAAGCAGCAUAUGAAAGAUUCAUGCCAAAGGGUAAGGCAAAUACAUGUAAAAAUAUGAAGACAAAAAAUCACUAAUUCAAGUCAAUACAUUUUCUAUUUGCAUUGUAGAAAUUUUGAUUUUGUUCAUCACUUAUUGUCUCCUCUUGUAUGAAAAAGUUGUUCUUUCUAAUACCAUGGAAUUUUUUAUUUUGCAUUGUGAAAAUUUUGAUUUUGUUCCGCUUUUUACCGUGAAUUCGGCAACUAUUUUCGUCGAGUGAAGUAUUGUCACGUCCUGGACUCGAAAUGAGUGAAAGAAAUGAUCUCGGGCCCGUGUGUGAAUAAAAAUAAAAUAAAUAAAAAGAAACUAAAACAGGUUUGAAAACUAGCUCAUUUAAAAAUGAUGCAGAAGAAUAAAUAGGCUGGUAAGCUGAAAUGAAUGGAAAAUUGAUUUAUUUAAUAUACGAGUCAACUACACAAUAAAUCAGAAUUUACUAAAAUACAAUAAUCACCAUUCAACUUCACGUAAAUUUCACGAAUCCCUUAAUUCUCUAAAUUGAUUUGCAGCCUUAGAUGCUUGGAUUCGACUCCCUGAUCACUGAUGUGAAAAUUGUACUGUAAUCCGACUUAACUCAAGUUAUGAAAAUACAGUAAAGAAGUUGGAAGGCUACAAAGUUCCCUCUGUCUCACUUUCCUUCUUUUUCUUCGGAUCUGAAAACUAGGAAAACAAAUGUUGUUUUCCUCUUCAUUCUUUUCUCUUUCUUUGUGGUCCAAUCAAAAUCCUUCAUAUGUGACCCCAUGUCAUCCUUCAUAUGUGGCUAGCUAUCAAUUUGUCACGUGGCCAAGUCAACCAUUUGUCGUUGCCAAAUGUCAAUCAUUUGGUCAUCCUCUAAACUAACAAAUAUUCCGAAAGAUACUAUCAUAUCACCACUAGUUUCAUCCUACUAUUUCCGGAUCAUCAAUUGUUCUCAAUCAAAAUAAUAUUUUUUUCCGAUAUCUUAGUCGUCCGAAAUAACGACUACUUGUGAAACAUUAAUAAUUUCAGGGUUUCACAACCUUCAUCUACUCUUCACGAUCUUCAAGUUGGUAUACUUUGUUCCUGCAUUAAUAGUCGUUUUGGAGUCGGAUGUUUAGAAACCUAUAAAGCUGGUUUUGGCCGGUGAUUUUGGUCAGUUGCCGUCUAGAAUUGAUUGUCGUGAUAGUUAUAAAAGUUAAUCCUUAUGUUGAGUUCUAUAUGCCUGUACAAUUUGGUGUGUCAGAAAAUUGGGUUUCUAGUUUCAUAAUCAUAUCAACACUAAAUCAGGCCCAGAAAGGUGGCGUUAGAAAAAUCUGUAUGUCCCUCAAAACUUGUAGAAGGAACCUUCCUUAAAAAUCACCAUCUUGACCGGCUUAUAGAACAACUAAGCCCAAAAUUUCAAACUGACAGCACUGCGCAGUCAACCUUCUUUUCUUUGCUACAGUCAAAUGGCAUGGAAUAAAAAUCUUGAAUUUUUACACUAUUAACUUGAAAGAUCACAAACACACAUAAUUACUUCAAAUUCCUUUUUUUGAUAACUUUUUUCCCUACAAACGAAAUAUAGAAUAAAGUAUUAAAAUUAUACCAAAAUAGUUAAUAAAUUAUAUCUAAGACUAUGGUAAAAAUAUAGAAUAAUGUUGACUCAUCAGCAAGUAUUGAAAUAAUAGUUUAACACAUUUUUAUUUGGCCUAUCGAUUCACCAAACAUAUACAUACACAUAACUAGAGACAGCAAGAGAGAGAAUAGUGGGAAUCAUUCAUCCCACAGUCCCACGCAUGGAUUCUCCCCAAUUCAACGAAAGUCCUCUUCCUUAUGUACACAAAAUAACAACAAACACGUUUUUGAGUAAUUAUAUAUCUGCCUGCCCCUUUUACUUUUGACUUUAAAGAAAGCGGCCCAUGCGAUGUACGAUUCAUGCCUAACUCUAAAGGCAAAUACAUUAUUCUAACAAACUAUUAAAACUUAAUAGAGGUAAUUUGGAUUUCAGAGAAUUUUAAUGGAUUUUUUUUAAGUGAUAAAUUUGAAAAAAAUUUAAUAGAUUCAUAAUUUUACGUGGAUUUUGACAAAUGUAUAUGGAUUCCUAUUAUAGAUUUUUAUGGAUUUGAAUGGAUUUCUUUCAUGGAUUUCUUAGGAUGCUAGUUGACUCCUACAACAUAAAAUGAAUUUCUUUCGAGUACACAAUAUGAAAAGAACAUAAACUGAAAGGAACAUAAACAUAUAUCUAUUGAUAUAGAAUACAAACCAAUCAAAUAUGUAAAUAGAAUGGGUCAUUGAGAAUAUUGAUCCAAGAGUUUGAAUAAUUGUAAAUGAUAGCUUCUGCUUUAGAACAUCAUAUCCAUUCAAGAAUGAUGAUUUCAAGUUUAAGAACAGGAUAUCCAAUCAUGAAUAAUAAUAUAUGUGAAAGAAUAUCAAAUGACAAUCGAAAUUGAGUAGGGACAUAUUUGGGCUGCAAAAUCCUGGGAUAAAAACAUUUUAACCAUGACAAAAAAAAAAAAAAACAUUUGAACUCAAACAAAAACAUGGUCACUAAUUUGCGGGAAAAAAAGGCUUAAAUCAAAAGUGCAAAUGGGAAAAGCCCAACUUAGAAAAAUCAGAAGUGCAAAUGAGAGAAUCUCAAUUCGGAAAAAGCACGAGUAUGAAGCAAAACAACAUACAACUAUAAUCCAAAUUAAAAAAAAAAAAAAUCAUGGUCCAAUUGUUACUCAUCUUCCCAGAGGAACAAACCAAGAGCAUGAAUUCAGAAAAAUACAUAAACAAUGCGAAAAACGGGGAGUCUACCGGGAAAUGCUCUAAAGUCUAAACUCAUGGUAGGAUUGUCCACUUUCUACUGUUUGGUGUGAAAAGAAAUCUUAGGGGGAGGGUAGGAUUGUCGAUACCAUUUGGGUAUUUAGAUCACCCACUCUCAAAUCCAUUAAAAUCCUUCAUUCACAAAAAUUCUAACAAAUGUUUGACAUUUCCACUACAUCUAGAUUUGUAUGGACUUUUAAAACUUUUGAUUGACUACCCAUGAAUUUGGAUAUAUUUUUUAAAUCCUCCUAAAUCUUAAUUUGACUACACCAUGAUUUUAAAAUCUUUUAAAAUCCACAUUUAAACUCCUAAUUGACUACACGCUGAUUUUAAAGUUUAUUAAAAUACUACUAAAUCCUAGUUUGACUACAUCCGAUUAGUUUCCCAACCAACAUUUAUUCACACCCAACACAUUACACUGUCAGGUGUUUUUCCAUACCACGAGUCCUGACCAUUUGAACUACACUUGCAGCUUUCCUUUUGCUCCUAAAUCAAAAUCCUGAAUCCACAGUUUUUCUUCUUCCUUCUUCAAUUGUCUUUUGGUUGAUUUAGUUCAAUUAAGAUGGAGGGUGACGGAAUCAAGUGCUUGAACAAACUCUGUCGUGCUUUAAUUGGGGUGCUAAUUUUACUACAAUGUGUUGUCAACCCUUCCCAUUCCCUUGGAUUCAAUAAUAUUUCUUCAGGAGGAGUGACGAGGUGCUUUGAGAGGGAAAGAGAAGCACUCCUUGCUUUCAAACAAGGCCUCGUGGAUCACUACAAUCUCCUCUCUUCGUGGGGAAGAGAAGAUCACAAGCAAGAUUGUUGCAAAUGGGUAGACGUCCACUGCAGCAACCGAACCAACCAUGUUACUCAACUUCAUCUUGGACGGGAAAGUCUCGUGCAUGUCGUACAGCGUGUCCCGCCUCCCCCGGUUCUCAGGGAUGAAACCAGAAAUUUAACUAAGAGGGGGCACCUUAAAAAAUUUGAGCUCAUUUUUUUGACAAAUAAAGUUAGUUCUUUUACAAAUGUUGAAAAAAUUAAUUACAAAAUGCCUAAUUUUAUUACUCUAUUGUCUAAUUUUGUUUUUAAUUGUUGACAAUGUAAUGCUCAUUUGUACUAAUUAACCAAAUACAUGUAACUCAAUAAGGUUUAGACAUUAGUGUGUGAAAAAAAUAUACAAGACGGAUGAGCAUUUGAAAACUAAAAAAAGAUUUUCACUAUUUUAAUAUAAUUAAUUGAAUAAUCUGCCAAGCAAAAAAAAUAGGAAUGAUUAAUUGAAUAAUUUGUCCUGAGAGACCACGUGUCGUGAGCCGUUCCUGCUGCGACUCAGCGCUUUGUUCGCAGAGAUGAGCGAUAGGAUCGUCCCCGUGGCGGUCGACUGUAAGCAGAGCAUGUUCUACGGGACCACCGUCCGUGGGGUCAAGUUCUGGGACCCCUACUUCUUCAUGAACCCGAGGCCGACGUACGAGGCCACGUUUCUGGACCGGCAGCCGGACGACAAGUUUCUAAUUCCACAAAAUACAAAAAGACUUAAAAAAUGUAAACAGAAUGAAACAAUCAACGCGGAAUUGUGUUGAUUGUUGCAGGCUUUGUCAUUAUUUUGGAGAGAAGAGUCAACGUCUAAUUACUACACCUACCUACAGAAAAGUAGGUGGUCCACUCACACAUGUUCCAUACUUGACCAUCUGAAUCAAGACAACUCAGUGUGUGGAUCGUAUUGUGAACUAUUACGUAGUCACCCAGCCUUAUAAUACACUCGCAUCUUUCCUUGUGCUCCUAAAUCAAUACUGAUUGUACACUUCUUCUUCUUCAUUCUUCAAUCAUCUUUGCCUUGAUUUUGUUGAAUUAAGAUGGAGAAUGACGGAAUCAGGUGCUUGAAGAAACUCUUUCACACUUCCAUUGUGGUUCUACUUUUUCUACAAUGUUUCAACCCUUCCCUAUCCUCUGGAUUCUAUAAUGUUUCUUUCGGUUUCGGAGCAAUUGGCCACCGGGUGGUGACGAGGUGCAUAGAGAGUGAAGGGGAAGCACUCCUUUCUUUCAAACAAGGUCUGAUUGAUGACUACAAUCUCCUCUCCUCCUGGGGAAGAGAAGAACACAAGCAAGAUUGUUGCAAAUGGCUUGGCAUCCACUGCAGCAACCGAACCAACCAUGUUGCUCAACUUGAUCUUGGAUGGAAUCAUAUGAAUGAAGUUUACUCACUUCAACAGAAAGAACAGCAGGAGUAUCCCGAAUAUUACUUUCAAGGUAAAAUGAUGAGUCCUAAACUAAUUGAGUUGAAGCAUUUGAAAUAUUUGGACUUUUCUUCCGUUAACUUCACUGGGACCCAGCUUCCAGAUUUCAUUGGUUCUCUUUCCAAUUUAAGACACCUCGGUCUCUGGGAUGCUUCUUUUGGUGGUCGAAUUCCAACUCAGAUCGGAAACCUUACCCACUUGCAAUAUCUUGAUCUCAGAUCCAAUCACUUUGCUAAUAUAGAAAACCUGAAUUCAUGGUUGCCUCGUCUUUCUUCUUUAAUAUAUUUGGACCUGAGUUUCAACAAUCUUAGUAAUGUUCCUGACUGGUUGGAAAUAGUUAGUAAGCUCCCUAAACUUACAAACUUGUCUCUGUCUUCUUGCAGUCUUCCAUCUCCUCUAAUUCAUUCCAGUACUCUUUUUAACAUAAAUUCUUCUAAAUCUCUUGCUCAUGUUGAUCUCAGUUACAACCAACUCACAUCUUCUUCCAUAUUUCUUUGGUUGUCCAAAUACAAUGCCAGCCUUGUUCAUCUUGAUCUCAAAUACAAUAACUUUGCUAAUGUAGAAAAUCUGAAUUCAUGGCUGCCUCAUCUUUCUGCUUUAACAUAUUUGGACCUGAGUUACAGCAAUCUCAGUAAUGUUCCUGACUGGAUGGAAGCAGUUAAUAAGCAUCCUAAACUUACAAACUUGUCUCUGUCUAAUUGUGGUCUUCCUUCUCCUCUAAUUCAUUCCAGUACUCUUUUUAACAUAAAUUCUUCUAAAUCUCUUGCUCAUGUUGAUCUCAGUUACAACCAACUCACUUCUUCCAUAUUUCUUUGGUUGUCCAAAUAUAAUUCCAGCCUUGUUCAUCUUGACCUCUCUUACAACCAGUUAACUGGCUUAUUUCCCGAUGUCAUUGGAAACAUGAGCUCUCUUGCAUAUCUAGAUCUCUCUUCUAACCAAUUUGAAGGGGUGAUUUCAGAAAGUCAUUUCUCGGGUCUCUCCAGAUUAAGAUCUUUGUAUCUGUCCUCUACCUCACUAACUUUAAACUUCCAUUCUAAAUGGGUUCCUCCCUUCCAAUUGGAUUAUAUAAUCUUGGGGUCUUGCAAGAUGGGUCCACAUUUUCCAAAUUGGCUUCAAACUCAGAAAAGUUAUUGGAGCCUUGAUAUUUCUAAUGCAGGAAUUUCUGAUAUCCUUCCAAGUUGGUUUUGGGAAAGGCUGUCUCAUGCUCGUGAAAUUGGUUAUGUAGAUCUCUCCAACAACCAAAUCAGAGGAACAAUUCCAAACUCGCAAAUCAAUUUUGUAUGUUU